UAAUACGAAGGUGGCAAGCGUUGUUCGGAAUCACUGGGCUUAAAGAGCACGUAGGCGGCCUGUCAAGUGCCUUGUGAAAUCCCUCGGCUCAACCGGGGAAUUGCUGGGCAUACUGUCAGGCUUGAGGCAGGUAGGGGCGCGUGGAACUCUUGGUGGAGCGGUGGAAUGCGUAGAUAUCAAGAGGAACGCCGGAGGCGAAAGCGAUGCGCUGGGCCUGUCCUGACGCUGAGGUGCGAAAGCUAGGGGAGCAAACGGG
rnacentral:rRNA from 1 species